rnacentral:rRNA from 1 species
UACGAAGGGUGCAAACGUUGCUCGGAAUUAUUGGGCGUAAAGGGCGCGUAGGCGGCUUGGCAAGUGGAUGGUGAAAUCCCUCGGCUUAACCGAGGAACUGCCGUCCAAACUGCUUCGCUUGAGACCGGGAGAGGUGAGUGGAAUUCCCAGUGUAGCGGUGAAAUGCGUAGAUAUUGGGAGGAACACCAGUGGCGAAGGCGGCUCACUGGACCGGUACUGACGCUGAUGCGCGAAAGCGUGGGGAGCAAACGGG